GACGCUGGCGGCGUGCCUAAUACAUGCAAGUAGAACGCUGAAGGAAGGAGCUUGCUCUUUCCGGAUGAGUUGCGAACGGGUGAGUAACGCGUAGGUAACCUGCCUGGUAGCGGGGGAUAACUAUUGGAAACGAUAGCUAAUACCGCAUAAGAGUAGAUAUCGCAUGAUAGCUGCUUAAAAGGUGCAAUUGCAUCACUACCAGAUGGACCUGCGUUGUAUUAGCUAGUUGGUGGGGUAACGGCUCACCAAGGCGACGAUACAUAGCCGACCUGAGAGGGUGAUCGGCCACACUGGGACUGAGACACGGCCCAGACUCCUACGGGAGGCAGCAGUAGGGAAUCUUCGGCAAUGGACGGAAGUCUGACCGAGCAACGCCGCGUGAGUGAAGAAGGUUUUCGGAUCGUAAAGCUCUGUUGUAAGAGAAGAACGAGUGUGAGAGUGGAAAGUUCACACUGUGACGGUAUCUUACCAGAAAGGGACGGCUAACUACGUG
rnacentral:rRNA from 1 species